CUAUUUUAAGUCUGCAGCCCUGAAAGACCAAGAGAGGCAAAAUGUUAGCAUUAGCUCUAACUUUUGAACAGAUUUUGUGCAAAUCUAAACCUUGCCAAAUGACAUAAUAUUGUAUGCUACAGAAGAUGAGUAUGUGGUGCUUCAAGCUGGGGAAUAACAACAUCACUAUCACUGGUGGUGAUGGAUUCCAAAGACUCUAAAACUUCACUGUCCAUUUGGUCUAGUCAGAAAAGACUCCAAUACCACCUGAGCAGGAUAAAGAGAUUACUGGAGAUGAAUGAGUGAACAAAUCUCCUGCUGUAAUUCCAGUAUACUCAGUCUGAUCUGCAGUGUAAGCUCUGCCUGUUUUAGCCUCUCUUCACAGCCAGAUUGUGCUCACUCAGACAGUACUUUUACAUGAACAGUCUUUGUUUAUAGUCUUUAAUAUUAAGAAGGUAUGGUGCCAAUUUGUAAUCAUGUGUAAUCACUUUUCUGUAGU